rnacentral:rRNA from 1 species
AGAGUUUGAUCAUGGCUCAGGAUGUACGCUAGCUACAGGCUUAACACAUGCAAGUCGAGGGGAAACGAUAGAGAAAGCUUGCUUUUUCUAGGCGUCGACCGGCGCACGGGUGAGUAACGCGUAUCCAACCUGCCCACCACUUGGGGAUAACCUUGCGAAAGUAAGACUAAUACCCAAUGACGUCUCUAGAAGACAUCUGAAAGGGAUUAAAGAUUUAUCGGUGAUGGAUGGGGAUGCGUCUGAUUAGCUUGUUGGCGGGGUAACGGCCCACCAAGGCAACGAUCAGUAGGGGUUCUGAGAGGAAGGUCCCCCACAUUGGAACUGAGACACGGUCCAAACUCCUACGGGAGGCAGCAGUGAGGAAUAUUGGUCAAUGGGCGAGAGCCUGAACCAGCCAAGUAGCGUGCAGGAUGACGGCCCUAUGGGUUGUAAACUGCUUUUAUAAGGGAAUAAAGUGAGCCUCGUGAGGCUUUUUGCAUGUACCUUAUGAAUAAGGACCGGCUAAUUCCGUGCCAGCAGCCGCGGUAAUACGGAAGGUCCGGGCGUUAUCCGGACUUAUUGGGUUUAAAGGGAGCGUAGGCCGGAGAUUAAGCGUGUUGUGAAAUGUAGAUGCUCAACAUCUGCACUGCAGCGCGAACUGGUUUCCUUGAGUACGCACAAAGUGGGCGGAAUUCGCGGUGUAGCGGUGAAAUGCUUAGAUAUCACGAAGAACUCCGAUUGCGAAGGCAGCUCACUGGAGCGCAACUGACGCUGAAGCUCGAAAGUGCGGGUAUCGAACAGGAUUAGAUACCCUGGUAGUCCGCACGGUAAACGAUGGAUGCCCGCUGUUGGUCUGAAUAGGUCAGCGGCCAAGCGAAAGCAUUAAGCA